UACAGAGGGUGCUAGCGUUGUUCGGAAUCAUUGGGCGUAAAGGGCGUGUAGGCGGUUUGCUAAGUCAUGUGUGAAAUAUCCCGGCUCAACCGGGAGGGUGCACUUUAGACUGAUGAGCUUGAGGUCGGUAGAGGGGGGUGGAAUUGCUGGUGUAGCGGUGAAAUGCGUAGAGAUCAGCAGGAACACCCGUGGCGAAGGCGGCCCCCUGGGCCGUACCUGACGCUGAGGCGCGAAGGCUAGGGGAGCGAACGGG
rnacentral:rRNA from 1 species